rnacentral:rRNA from 1 species
CGCUGGCGNCGUGCUUAACACAUGCAAGUCGAACGAUGAAGCCAAGCUUGCUUGGUGGAUUAGUGGCGAACGGGUGAGUAACACGUGAGCAACCUGCCCUGGACUCUGGGAUAAGCGCUGGAAACGGUGUCUAAUACUGGAUAUGAGCUCUCAUCGCAUGGUGGGGGUUGGAAAGAUUUUUUGGUCUGGGAUGGGCUCGCGGCCUAUCAGCUUGUUGGUGAGGUAAUGGCUUACCAAGGCGUCGACGGGUAGCCGGCCUGAGAGGGUGACCGGCCACACUGGGACUGAGACACGGCCCAGACUCCUACGGGAGGCAGCAGUGGGGAAUAUUGCACAAUGGGCGGAAGCCUGAUGCAGCAACGCCGCGUGAGGGAUGACGGCCUUCGGGUUGUAAACCUCUUUUAGCAGGGAAGAAGCGUGAGUGACGGUACCUGCAGAAAAAGCGCCGGCUAACUACGUGCCAGCAGCCGCGGUAAUACGUAGGGCGCAAGCGUUAUCCGGAAUUAUUGGGCGUAAAGAGCUCGUAGGCGGUUUGUCGCGUCUGCUGUGAAAUCCCGAGGCUCAACCUCGGGUCUGCAGUGGGUACGGGCAGACUAGAGUGCGGUAGGGGAGAUUGGAAUUCCUGGUGUAGCGGUGGAAUGCGCAGAUAUCAGGAGGAACACCGAUGGCGAAGGCAGAUCUCUGGGCCGUAACUGACGCUGAGGAGCGAAAGGGUGGGGAGCAAACAGGCUUAGAUACCCUGGUAGUCCACCCCGUAAACGUUGGGAACUAGUUGUGGGGACCAUUCCACGGUUUCCGUGACGCAGCUAACGCAUUAAGUUCCCCGCCUGGGGAGUACGGCCGCAAGGCUAAAACUCAAAGGAAUUGACGGGGACCCGCACAAGCGGCGGAGCAUGCGGAUUAAUUCGAUGCAACGCGAAGAACCUUACCAAGGCUUGACAUACACCAGAACACCGUAGAAAUACGGGACUCUUUGGACACUGGUGAACAGGUGGUGCAUGGUUGUCGUCAGCUCGUGUCGUGAGAUGUUGGGUUAAGUCCCGCAACGAGCGCAACCCUCGUUCUAUGUUGCCAGCACGUUAUGGUGGGAACUCAUGGGAUACUGCCGGGGUCAACUCGGAGGAAGGUGGGGAUGACGUCAAAUCAUCAUGCCCCUUAUGUCUUGGGCUUCACGCAUGCUACAAUGGCCGGUACAAAGGGCUGCAAUACCGUGAGGUGGAGCGAAUCCCAAAAGCCGGUCCCAGUUCGGAUUGAGGUCUGCAACUCGACCUCAUGAAGUCGGAGUCGCUAGUAAUCGCAGAUCAGCAACGCUGCGGUGAAUACGUUCCCGGGUCUUGUACACACCGCCCGUCAAGUCAUGAAAGUCGGUAACACCUGAAGCCGGUGGCCCAACCCUUGUGGAGGGAGCCGUCGAAGGUGGGAUCGGUAAUUAGGACUAAGUCGUAACAAGGUAGCCGUACCGGAAGGUGCGGCUG